GCGUCCCGAGGCGGCGGGGGCGACGGGCGGAACUUAAGCAUAUCAGUACGCCCCGGAGGAGAAACCAACCGGGAUUCCCCGUAGCGGCGAGCGACGCGGGAGGAGCCCGCCCCGAAGGCGCGCUGUGGGGCGCAGGCGCAGGCCCGCCGCGAGGGGGCCCGAGGGCCCCGCCCGAGAGGGUGCAAGCCCCGUACGGCGGCCGCCGGGCCUGCGCGGCGAGUAGCGCUGCUUGAGCGUGCAGCGCGAAGGGAGGCGCGGCCCUUCCAAGGCUAAAUACGCCCCGGGACCGAUAGCGGACCAAGUAGCGCGAGCGAACGGUGAAAAGGACGCCCUGCGGCCGCUCAAAAGACCUGAACCCGGCCGGCCGCCGGCCCGCCGGCCCCGUCUCGAAACACGGACCGAGGAGCCACGCGCCGCGGCGAGCCCGAGGGAGCCCCCGCGGCGGAGCGAGCGCGAGACGCCCCGGGCCCGCCAUGCCCCUGCGGGCGUGCGCGGGCCGAGCCGCGGCGCGUGGGCCCGAAAGGCGGUGAUCUAUGCCCGGCGAGGGCGAGGCCGGGCGAAAGCCUGGUGGAGGCCCGCCGCGGUGCUGACGCGCAGAUCGCUCGUCGGAGCCGGGCAUGGGGGCGAAAGACUCAUCGAACCGCCUGGUAGCUGGUUGCCUCCGAAAUGUCUCCCAGGACAGCCGCCGCCCCGCAGUUGCGGCCCGUAGAGCGCUGGCCGGCGGGAGCGGGGGGCCUGCCCCUCGCCCGCCCCCCAAACUCCGAAGGGCCGCGCCGCCCCGCCGCUGGCCUGGGCGGGGCGGGCGAAUGCGGGCGGCGCGUGGGCCCCUCCUGGUAAGCAGGACGGGCGAGGCGGGACGAUCCGGACGCCGGGCCAGGGUGCGCCGCCGGGGCCCGCGGAACGGCGUCGGCCGGUCCCGACAGCUGGAAGGUGGCCCCAGAAGUCGGCAUCCUCCAGGGAGUGUGUAACAACCCACCAGCCGAAUCGGCCGGCCCGGAAAAUGGAGCGCGCCGGAGCCCCGGACCCGCGCCCGGCCGCCGCGCGCGGCGGGUAGGAGGCCGCAGAGGCCCCGGGGGCGAAGGCGGCGCGCAGGCCCCGCCGGACCGGCCUCUGGUGCAGAUCUCGGCAGCAGUAGCCGCUACUCCGCGCCCCGGAGGACUGAGGGGGAGACGGGUUCCGCGGCGCCUGCAUCUGGCCGCGGGUGACUCGGGCCUAAGCGGCGGGUGAAGACCGGGAAGGGGCGUGCCCGCCCGUCGAACGGGGAGCCGGCGGAGACUCCGGCAGGCGCGGCCCCCGCGGAGACGCCCGCCCCCCGGCGACGCGCACGGGGACCGCGGCGGGCGGCGCCCCGGCCCGCGAACGCCCCGCAGCCCCCGGACGCCUUGCGCGGAGAGGGGGGCCCGGGGGCGGACCCCGCGCGUCCCCGGCCGCCCCUGAAAAGCCGGGGGGCGCCGGCCGCGCGCCGUACCGACCGCAGCAGGACUCCGGGGUCAGCAGCCUCUAGCGCGGGAGCGAACGCGGCUCAGGGAAGUCGGCAAGCCGGCUCCGUAACCUCGGGAAAAGGAGUGGCUCUGACGGCGCGCCGGGUCAGAACUGGAACGGACGCGGGGAUCCCGACUGUUUACUAGAAACACAGCGUCGCGAGGGCCGCACCCGGCGCUGGCGCGACGUGAUUUCUGCCCAGUGCCACGACCGUCACCGUGAAGCGAUCCGCCGAAGCCCUGGUAAACGGCGGGAGUAACUAUGACUCUCUUAAGGUAGCCAAAUGCCUCGUCGGGCAAUUUCCGACGUGCAUGAAUGGACCAACGAGGAUCCCACUGUCCCGAGCCGCGNNNNNNNNNNNNNNNNNNNNNNNNNNNNNNNNNNNNNNNNNNNNNNNNNNNNNNNNNNNNNNNNNNNNNNNNN
rfam:Giardia lamblia ATCC 50803 SC_572 genomic scaffold, whole genome shotgun sequence.